GCUAUUUCGAUCGAUUUAGCCAUGCUAGUUGGCGAGUUGAGACUCGUAGCAGAUAGCUCAGUAGCACGUGGCCAAACUACCCUAUGGAUCCGAAUAACCUCGGGAAACUGAGGCUAAUGCGGAAUAGCGUUCAUCGCCUGGAGUGGCACGAACGCGAAACGUUACGACGCCAUAGGAUGUGGCUGCGGCCGAUUAGGUAGACGGUGGGGUAACGGCCCACCGUGCCCAUAAUCGGUACGGGUUGUGAGAGCAAGAGCCCGGAGACGGUAUCUGAGACAAGAUACCGGGCCCUACGGGGCGCAGCAGGCGCGAAACCUUUACACUGCACGCGAGUGCGAUAAGGGGACUCCGAGUGCGAGGGCAUAUAGUCCUCGCUUUUCACGACCGUAAGGUGGUCGUAAAAUAAGUGCUGGGCAAGACCGGUGCCAGCCGCCGCGGUAAUACCGGCAGCACGAGUGAUGACCGCUAUUAUUGGGCCUAAAGCGUCCGUAGCUGGCCACGCAAGUCUAUCGGGAAAUCCGCGCGCUUAACGCGCGGGCGUCCGGUGGAAACUGCGUGGCUUGGGACCGGAAGACCAGAGGGGUACGUCCGGGGUAGGAG
rnacentral:rRNA from 1 species